ensembl:processed_transcript Gm14023 predicted gene 14023
ACUUCCGCAGCGGUGCUGCUGCGGUGGGAGCCGGUCACAGGAAAGCAGCUUCUAACCUGCUGUAUUGUCUCUAAAACCACUUCUUGGUUUUGGUGGCACAUUGUAUGGGUCUCAUUAUGGAGCCCUGGCAGGCUUGGGAUUCACUUGACCGACAAGAAUAGACUUGAACUCACAAAGAUUCUCCUGCAUCUCCUUCCCACUGGGAAGCAAGUUCCCAAGUGACAAGGAAGGCUACCAAUAUUCUCAAUCUAUAUUUUCAGAUGAGUAUAUGCUAAGUAUGGGGAACUGAAGCCCAGAGAGAUUAAGGAGCAUGACUAAGGCGGUGGCAGCUAGCAGAGGUCAUGAGCUAAUGAACCACGCUGCUUUCUCUCCAACAGAAGACCUUUACAUGACCUUUGCAGUAUAGCCAAGAAAGGAGUCCUUGAAUCAUUGGUUAUGGACUCCAGGUCAUCUUCAGUGAAGGUCUCACUGAAACUCAGCCGUCUCUUCUUCAGAAUCUUCCCAUUGCUUGACGUUGUUGAUACUGUCAUCCGGCUCUCCUUGAAGGUGAAGUUGGACAUCUUUGAUGUUUCAGAGGUUCUCAGAGAUACAAACUGAUCUGUGCAAGUCUCAUGAAGUGAGCCAUAGCUUGCAUCAUAGAAGGAUUUCUGUAAGGAGGAAAAGUGGAAUCUGAGAGGUUAUCUAUGCCCUUGAGAUGAGAUUGUUAAGUAGGAUCUCUAUCCUGCAGGCUUAGUGAGAGUGGUCCCCAUUGUGCUUCCUUCCUUCCUCCCUCCCUUCCUUCUAAGCAUCCUCCCACUGUCCUUCCUUCCUUUCCCACUGCAUUCCUUCCUUUUCCUUGCUUGGAUUUUCCUGAAACCAUGUGAUUUUUUUUUUUUGAGAGGAAGGUAUUUUUACCCAUCUCUAGGCUCAAAAAUAAAACAUUUUAAUGAAAUAGAUUAAUAUGGAAUCUUGGUAAGUCAGAUCCUUCUAUUAAGAGGUCUAACAUCUAAUUGAGAGUGCUCAAAAUAUUUUAGAAAAUACAUUCAGCCCUCUGUUUUGCCUGCCUGCAUCCCCAGAUUCAACCAAUAUUAAGAUUCAAAAUAUUUUCUAGAAAUAAAUGACAUCUAUACUGAACAUGUGCAUUUUUAUUUCCUAAAUAAUCUAAUCAUUACUUCAUAAGCAUAAGAAUUAUUUCCAUAGCAUCUGUGUUGUGGCAGGUAUUGUUAGGUCACCUAGAUAUGAUUUAAAGUCAUUUGAGAAUGCAUACAUGCUUGGGACUUAAACAUCUGCAGAAGGUGGUCUCCCUUGAUUCUAAGCUCUCAUGGAUGCCUUUAGUAUGGCUGUUCUUCUGGAAGUAGCUUUUAAAGCUAGUAUUACAGAUACACAAAACAACAUAACUUGGUGAGUGUGUGUAACAUAUUUACUUUCUCUUGGCUUGGCUCCUCAACCUCAGCUCUGUGGGCUAUCUGGUUAUCUCUAGCCUCUAGUCUGUUAGGAGACAGACCCCAGGUGAGGUGGGCUGAAGCAACUGGCUAGGGAGGACAAAAUUAACAUUUUGAAGGAACCUAGCCCUGUUCUUAGGGCUUCAGAUAGUUCUCUGUUAUGAAAGAGCCAAUGAACAGGAAGAAUGCCAUUUAACUACUAGUAUGAAGAACCAAGUGAUCUCAUUUAUAAGGAGUAAAUGUAUGUAUAUCUCUAGUGGGGGUGAGACAUAAGUAUGUACUACUCAGUUCUCGUUGUGCUUUUCUGGUAGGUGAACUAGUGUGG